rnacentral:rRNA from 2 species
CGCGAGGGUGGGCGUGCCUACACAUGCAAGUCGAGCGCGAAUGGAGCAAUCCUAGUAGAGCGGCGCACGGGUGCGUAACACGUGGAUAAUCUGCCUGGGUGUCUGGGAUAACCAGUCGAAAGAUUGGCUAAUACCGGAUAAGCCCCCGGGAGCUUCGGCUCCUGAGGGAAAAGGUGGCCUCUGUAUACAAGCUAUCACAUCCAGAUGAGUCCGCGGCCCAUCAGCUAGUUGGCGGGGUAAUGGCCCACCAAGGCGACGACGGGUAGCUGGUCUGAGAGGACGAUCAGCCACACUGGAACUGAGACACGGUCCAGACUCCUACGGGAGGCAGCAGUGGGGAAUUUUGCGCAAUGGGCGAAAGCCUGACGCAGCAACGCCGCGUGUGUGAUGAAGGUCUUCGGAUUGUAAAGCACUUUCGACCGGGACGAAAACCCCUAGCCUAACACGCUGGGGCUUGACGGUACCGGGAGAAGAAGCACCGGCUAACUCUGUGCCAGCAGCCGCGGUAAUACAGAGGGUGCAAGCGUUGUUCGGAAUUAUUGGGCGUAAAGCGCGUGUAGGCGGCUUUGCAAGUCGGGUGUGAAAGCCCUCAGCUCAACUGAGGAAGUGCGCCCGAAACUGCAGAGCUUGAGUGCCGGAGAGGGUGGCGGAAUUCCCCAAGUAGAGGUGAAAUUCGUAGAUAUGGGGAGGAACACCGGUGGCGAAGGCGGCCACCUGGACGGUAACUGACGCUGAGACGCGAAAGCGUGGGGAGCAAACAGGAUUAGAUACCCUGGUAGUCCACGCCGUAAACGAUGAGAACUACGUGUCGUGGUGUUGACCCCCGCGGUGCCGUAGCUAACGCAUUAAGUUCUCCGCCUGGGAAGUACGGUCGCAAGACUAAAACUCAAAGGAAUUGACGGGGCCCGUCACAAGCGGUGGAGCAUGUGUUUAAUUCGACGCAACGCGCAGAUCUUACCUGGUCUUGACAUCCUCGGAAUCUUUCAGAGAUGAAGGUGCCCGCAGGAUCGAAAGACAGGUGCUGCAUGCUGUCGUCAGCUCUGUCUGGAAUGUGGGUAGUCCGCACGACCACCUUGCUUUAGUUGCCGCACGGAUCUAAGACUGCGCGGUAACGAGAAGGUGAUACUCAGUCUUGGCUUAGACGGAUACCGGUCCAUGCGUUACGGUCCAUCAGAGAGGACCUAUUCAUAC